ACUUGUUAUUAUAUUUUACUGGACGCCUUAUAUCUGGAUUUCUCAUGAGAAUCACCAGUGCAUCGCAGUCUGCCAGCGUCUCCGAACACCUCACAGUCACCUGCAGCACAUGUGCUUACACAAAACAGCUUGAAAAUACAAUUCACAAAGAGCAUUCAUAACAUAGCACAACUAAUCAUUUCAAGGCACACCAGAAGUCAGGACAAGGAGCCAGAUCUAUCUCACAGUCGUACACACCACCACUUGUGGCACCUGUUGCUGCGGUUGGGAAGUUGCAUUCGCUACUUGCUCGAAACACUGUAUUUUGUGUGAUGCCUUGAUUCUCAAGCACAUGUGCAACUGAGUGUAUUGCGGUCUUUUUAGAGCACCAGCAAAUCCCCGCCUUGGCAUCAAACCUUUUGACCAUGCACUCUGAAAUGUAUUCGCAACCAUCAACACCCCAAGAUCAAACCUCUUUGGGAGAAGAGCAACAAAAUUGGAUCCGCCUGACCUUCCUUUUUUAAAACAAAGCAUUACUUUGUUUUCCUUCAUUUCCCACUGAGCGGAUCAACACGGAUCUAGCGUCGCCGUGCCUGCUGAAUCCUCUUCUGAUGGCGCAGCUGUGAGGCAUAUCUACGAAAGAUUGCUUAAGAAGAGGGUGACUUAACUGGUGGC